GACAGAGGAUGCAAGCGUUAUCCGGAAUCACUGGGCGUAAAGCGUCUGUAGGUGGUUCGAAAAGUCCACUGUUAAAAAUUGAGGCUUAACUUCAAAGAUGCCGUGGAAACUUUCAAACUAGAGUAUGGUAGGGGUAGAGGGAAUUUCCAGUGGAGCGGUGAAAUGCGUAGAUAUUGGAAAAGACCACCGAUGGCGAAGGCACUCUACUGGGCCACUACUGACACUGGAGAGACGAAAGCUAGGGGAGCGAAAUGG
rnacentral:rRNA from 1 species